rnacentral:rRNA from 1 species
GACGAACGCUGGCGGCGUGCUUAACACAUGCAAGUCGAACGGAAAGGCCCAGCUUGCUGGGUACUCGAGUGGCGAACGGGUGAGUAACACGUGGGUGAUCUGCCCUGAACUCUGGGAUAAGCCUGGGAAACUGGGUCUAAUACCGGAUAUGACCUUGGAGUGCAUGCUCUGGGGUGGAAAGCUUUUGCGGUUCAGGAUGGGCCCGCGGCCUAUCAGCUUGUUGGUGGGGUAAUGGCCUACCAAGGCGACGACGGGUAGCCGACCUGAGAGGGUGAUCGGCCACACUGGGACUGAGACACGGCCCAGACUCCUACGGGAGGCAGCAGUGGGGAAUAUUGCACAAUGGGCGCAAGCCUGAUGCAGCGACGCCGCGUGAGGGAUGACGGCCUUCGGGUUGUAAACCUCUUUCACCAGGGACGAAGCGUGAGUGACGGUACCUGGAGAAGAAGCACCGGCCAACUACGUGCCAGCAGCCGCCGUAAUAC